rnacentral:piRNA from 1 species
GAGAAUGUUCCAGAAGUGCCUCC